UUUGGCUGGCUUUAGCCCAUGGCGUACUUCUGUGUCCAGGAGCGAGCGGUGGAUUCAUACUUGGCCCUAUCAGUCUUGUACAUGUGAGCAAUCUCCGGCACCAACGGAUCAUCGGGGUUCGGGUCCGUCAGCAGUGAACAAAUUGACAGGAGUACCUUUGAUAUGGUAAGUGCAGGACUCCACUGUUCCUUGAGGAUGUCGAGGCAAAUGCUGCCAUUGCUAUUAAUGUUCGGGUGGAAAACCUUGCAAAGAAAUUACCUUCGGUGGUUUAAAAGGAUAAUCCGGUGGGAAAUGAAUGUUCACCAAGAAUACCCCACCAGCAAAUGGGCUGUCUGAGGGUCCCAUAAUAGUAGCUUGCCAAUGGAACAUGUCCUCACCCACAGGACCUGCGCUGCAUGAGGUGGGAGGGUCCUUCUGCAGGUCCUUCAACUCCUUCAGGAUCCUCUUGGACGCCAUCGAUCAAACCC
rnacentral:sRNA from 1 species